GACGAACGCUGGCGGCGUGCCUAAUACAUGCAAGUCGAACGAAGCUGUUUUAACUGGUGCUUGCACCGACUUAAACAACUGAGUGGCGAACGGGUGAGUAACACGUGGGUAACCUGCCCCAAAGCGGGGGAUAACAUUUGGAAACAGAUGCUAAUACCGCAUAACCACAGAAACCACAUGGUUUCUGUGUCAAAGAUGGUUUCGGCUAUCACUUUGGGAUGGACCCGCGGCGUAUUAGCUAGUUGGUAAGGUAAUGGCUUACAAAGGCAAUGAUAAGUAGCCGAACUGAGAGGUUGAUCGGCCACAUUGGGACUGAGACACGGCCCAAACGCCUACGGGAGGCAGCAGUAGGGAAUCUUCCACAAUGGACGAAAGUCUGAUGGAGCAACGCCGCGUGAGUGAAGAAGGUUUUCGGAUCGUAAAACUCUGUUGUCAGAGAAGAACGUGUGCGAGAGUAACUGUUCGUGCAGUGACGGUAUCUGGCCAGAAAGCCACGGCUAACUACGUGCCAGCCGCCGCUGUAA
rnacentral:rRNA from 1 species